CCGGUUGAUCCGCCGGACCCGACUGCUAUCACAGUGGGACUAAGCCAUGCGAGUCAGACGUAAUAAUACGUGGCAUACAGAUCAGUAACGCGUAGUCUACAUGCCCAGGGGACGUGUAUAACCUCGGGAAACUGAGGAUAAACCGCGAUAGGCCAUAAUUCCUGGAAUGUUUUAUGACUGAAACCUACAUGGACCCUGGAUUGGACUGCGGCCGAUCAGGUUGUUGGUGAGGUAAUGGCCCACCAAACCUGUAACCGGAACGGGCUCUGAGAGGAGAAGCCCGGAGAUGGUUACUGAUAGAAGGGCCCAGGCCUUAUGGGGCGCAGCAGGCGCGAAACCUCUGUAAUAUGCGAAAGCCUGACAGGGAUACUCUGAGUGGUUCCCGCUAAGGCGAUCUUUUGGCACCUCUCAAAAUGGAGCAGAAUGAGGGGUGGGCAAGCCUGGUGUCAGCCGCCGAGGGAAUAC
rnacentral:rRNA from 1 species